CCUUCUUCAUUCAAAUUUUGUUUUCUUCUACAAAGCUUGGAUUCUUGCUCUUUGGAUCAUAGACUUGCUAAGGAAAUCACCUUCACUUGAGGGCGCGCGAAAGUGUAGAAUAGUGCGAAGUUGGUUGUGUUGGAAGCUUGCCGAGAUGACGGAGAGCCAAGCGAGACUGUGGGUCUUGUGGAUGGCGAGGACUUCGUGGACUAUCCCGGAGAGUAGAGAGUAGCGCUUGUUAGGCUACAUUUUUGGUUAGGCUUAGGGCCUAGUUGUAUUUUGGAUGACUGUAUGUCUUAUA